rnacentral:misc_RNA from 1 species
GCAAGAUGUUUUCGCCGGAAGAUUAGCGAAAGAGUGCGGAGAGAGAAGGAAAAGAACGGGUACUUAGCCCUUCACGCUAUGUUGCCUCUUGGCACGAAGAAUGAUAAGAACUCGAUUAUGCAAGUGGCGGCGAAGAGAAUUCAUGAGUUGAAGCGAUACAAGGAGGUGUUGAAGAGGAGAAACCAUGAGCUUGAAGCGAAAUCUGAGGCGAUGGAGGUGGAGUAUGCGAGGAGUACAAAGAUUGAGUUCAAAGUACGCAACGCAUCAUUAGGGGUUGAUUAUAUGGUUGAGGUUCUUAAGUGCUUGAAUAGCUUGGGAGCAAAAAUCAGAAGCAUUAAAUCAACGUUUUCAGAUGAGGAACUUGUAGCAGUAAUGGAUAUUGAAACCCAGAUUUCAGAUGCUGAGGUAAGAAAGGCAGUGCAAUCUACGCUAAAGGAUGUUGGGAGGAAACUUCUCGGCCAUUUUGCUGAAGGAAGCAUGCAGCACAACGUAUAAAAGCAAAACAUAAUGGGGUGGGUUGGUGACCUUCAUUGUUCCAAUUAAAUAUUU